GGUUAAGCGACUAAGCGUACACGGUGGAUGCCCUGGCAGUCAGAGGCGAUGAAGGACGUGCUAAUCUGCGAUAAGCGCCGGUAAGGUGAUAUGAACCGUUAUAACCGGCGAUUUCCGAAUGGGGAAACCCAGUGUGAUUCGUCACACUAUCAUUAACUGAAUCCAUAGGUUAAUGAGGCGAACCGGGGGAACUGAAACAUCUAAGUACCCCGAGGAAAAGAAAUCAACCGAGAUUCC
rnacentral:rRNA from 2 species